UGACCUCAGAUCAGGUAGGAAUACCCGCUGAACUUAA
rnacentral:rRNA from 2 species